UACGGGGGGGGCAAGCGUUGUUCGGAAUUACUGGGCGUAAAGGGUUCGUAGGUGGCCUGCUAAGUCAGACGUGAAAUCCCUCAGCUCAACUGGGGAACUGCGUCUGAGACUGGCAGGCUUGAGUGCAGGAGAGGAACGCGGAAUUCCAGGUGUAGCGGUGAAAUGCGUAGAUAUCUGGAGGAACACCGGUGGCGAAGGCGGCAUCCUGGACCGGUAUUGACGCUGAGGCGCGAAAGCUAGGGGAGCAAACGGG
rnacentral:rRNA from 1 species